rnacentral:rRNA from 1 species
UGGGGAAUUUUGCACAAUGGGGGAAACCCUGAUGCAGCGACGCCGCGUGAUUUAGAAGGCCUUCGGGUUGUAAAAAUCUUUUCUAUGGGAAGAAAAUGACAGUACCAUAGGAAUAAGGACCGGCUAAUUACGUGCCAGCAGCCGCGGUAAUACGUAAGGUCCGAGCGUUGUCCGGAAUCAUUGGGCGUAAAGGGUACGUAGGCGGGUAACAAGUUAGAAGUGAAAUCCUAUAGCUCAACUAUAGUAAGCUUUUAAAACUGCUCAUCUUGAGGUAUGGAAGGGAAAGUGGAAUUCCUAGUGUAGCGGAGAAAUGCGCAGAUAUUAGGAGGAAUACCGGUGGCGAAGGCGACUUUCUGGCCAUAACCUGACGCUGAGGUACGAAAGCGUGGGUAGCAAACAGG